GGUUGAUGCUCAGUGGUAGAGCACUUGCUUAGCAUGUGUGAGGCCCUGGGUUCGAUCCUCAGUACCA
rnacentral:tRNA from 1 species